rnacentral:pre_miRNA from 1 species
AGUGGGUUAGCUGGGUCAUAUGGUAGUUCCAUUCCUGAUUUUUUUGAGGAAUGGCCAUACUACUUUUCAAGUGGUUGUACUAAUUUGCAGUCCCACCAGCAAU